AGCUGACGCCACACAGCACAAGGAGAUGGGGUGUUGGGGGGGAGUUUGGGGUAUUUUAGUUCAGCGGGCUUUGCCAAGAGAGCUGUUUACACGCAGUGACGACGUCUUCCGCACACACACAGCCGAGGAGCACGAUCACCCAUCCUGAAUGACUUUUUCAGAGCUUUCACGCCGUGUGGAGAGGGAGGGAGGACUUCACAAGAUGAGGAAUUUGGAUUGCAGCUCUGUUUAUUCAGAUUUAUUUGGAAAGCAAUGAAACUUCCUGGCCUGGGAACCCACUUCCACCAUAAUGAGCCCAAGUUUAAGCAGGAAUGGAUAUUAUUUUCAUCCAAAAUAGAUGGUGGUCUGUUGGCAAUUUACACACAUGCUUGGGUGGAUUUUAUCUUUUUUUUUUAUUUAUUUAUUUAUUUUUUAACCAGAGUGAGGUGGUGUGUAUGUUGGGGGUUACAGCGAUUCUAUAUUUUUACAAUUUGGAGAUUAAAAUUUGAUGUUAGUAGUUUGUGUAACGACAAAGCCUCUGUACUGUUCCACUCUGCAUGCCAUUCACCUUGUUUCCCGUGAUACAAAGAUGGUCUGCUUCUUUCUUAUCUUUUCAGUGCUAAAUGUAUGCCAUUCUCAAGCCUUCCAGCUAGCCUGGCAGAGCUGGACCUGCCUGUGGUCGCCUGAAGUAAUCAGUGAUGUGGGAGUAGCGUGUUGGUGGAACUUGAGGAGCAACGCAUGCAGAUGAGUCAGCUAUCAUUACAGUACAUUUCAAUUGAUUGCUGCCGAAGCCAAUAGCUAUACUUCUCACACAUUCGUUAUCAUGUCCUCCAUUUUCCCAUGUUGUCAUAAACAUUAGUGGAGCAAUCACAGUCCGACUGUUUAAAGAGUCAUAAGGGAUUUUGUCAAAAAUCUUCCCCCUUUGCAUAGUGCAGAAUUUGUUGUGCAUAGACCUAGUCAUGAAGAGUGCACUACAUGGCUGCAACCAGCAGAGACAACUGUAUAAUCCAACUCAUCUAGUUUGCAGACUAAACCGACGGGACGUGACAUUAUAUGAGAAGUUGAAAUACAUAUAUGCAGACCUCCGCUAUGACGCAACUUCUCAAGAGAGCAUGAUACUGCUCAAUCAAACAUCAGCAUCAAACCAGGAGGUUCAGCACAUUCGGAAGCUUGUCACAUCCCAGUAAACAACAACAUUUAUAAAUGUAAAGCAAUAAAUCACUUACAUGAUUGUUAAUCUUUCUACAGUCCAUCAGGAGAUUUAAAUGCCCAUCUCUAGUCGAUUUAAUAAAUGGAGAUGGACACAAUUACCAACGACAAGGACAAUACAGUACUUCGAUGAGUCCCAGCUGGUUCCUCCCGGCCACUCAGGACAGGGGCGGACGCACACAAAGGGUCUUCAAUCUGCCUCAGACAACAAGCAGCAUAAAGACCCGGAAAACCACAACAGCGUUGUGUCAAAGACCAAGCCGGGGGUGGUGGGCCUAGCUCGGAGGCCCUGCCCUGUGUGGGAUAGGGCCACUGCUGAUGGAUGGAUGAGGGUUGAGCUCAAGCAACGGAUUGGAAGGGCAGGCUGAGGGCUUUGUGCAUAAAAGGAGGACAUUUGUACUUGCCCAUUAACAAUGGAAUGCAAACACAAGGAAGGACAAUGAGGCAUCCUUUUGGGGUGAUGAGGAAGCUUCUAGGAAAAUGAUGAUGCAAAGCAUCCCAAGAACAGAUAUUGUUCACACUACCUGUUAUUCGAUAUUCCGUGUACUCCCAUGGUGAUCUAGUGUCACAUUUGCCUUUGGCUUGGUUUACUUUUGCAUGAAGUACUUUUGGCUUUUAACAGUGUCUGGCAUAUUUCACAACACAGAAUAGGCGUGAGCGGUGACCAAGAAAUGCCCCACCUUUUCCUGAAAUAGACUGUGUUGAAAGAGAGUUUGACUUCAACUCUACCUCACCACUGUCCCAAUGUUUAGUAAAAAUUACAAAACUUUUGAAAAGUAAAGUUGUGUCUGGUAACUCAAAAUGCGCAAUUCUUGUCUGCCUUUCAAAUGCCAAAAGAGGGCUGCAGAAGUAAAGCAGUGUGUUGCAAUAAAAAUAAAAAUAGCACGCCUUG